GUGCUUUCGAGGCGAGUGCAGUACAGACUCACGCUGCUGCACGGUCUGGUGAUUAGCGCCGCCCCUGGGGGAUGGCAACCGCCAAUCGGUGGAUGGCGUCGCGGCGCCCGCCGUCGUCGCGGGAAUAUCCCCUGCGGGUCUGCACAAUCGCGGAUAUAGCGGAUAGCGUCGGGCAAAGCCACGACAAAAAUCAAUCACUCGCUGCUUCCUCUUGUUCGCGAUGCUUCUCCCUCUCGCUCCUCUUUUCGUCCAUCCCGUCUCCUAUUUCUGUUUCCCUCCGGUUACACGCUCUCUCUCUCUCUCUCUCUCUCUCUCUCCUUCUCCUCCAUCGGCUCGCUGUUUGCGCAAACCAAAACAGAGACAGCGUCUCUAUAUACCGUGCGCUUUUUCCCUCUCGUGCGUUCAACUUUAGUUUACCUGUCAUGAUAUCUCGGUAAUCUCAGUCGUCAGAUUAGCCUGUGAAGGCUUCCCGAAAUCGUAAUUAGCGCGAAAGAACGGACAGAGUCGAUUGUAGAUGGCUAAUUGCGAUCGUAAUAAAUUUAUACCGCUCAAGAUAUACCGAGGUAAAAGAGAUAAACGCGAGAAUCGGUAUAUUCCGAAAGAAAAUACGUGAGAACGGCUUUGUGUCGCGGAACUUGAUAAUCGCCUGAUGUCGAGGUGUCAUGUACGAAUCCUACCGUCGCGAAUCGACCGAUUUUUCUCGCGCGAUCUUCCCACGUUCUCUCGCAUAUAUCCCGUACACGCGCGUGCGCUCGCAUCAUUCUUGUUCACGUCGAUCCACGUCCUCGUCGAGACGACAUGCAAGAACGGGACAAGGACAAGCGCGAGAUCCUAGCCGGGCUGACCGACGACCCGCCUUGAAUUUCAUUCACACACCCGCGAGGUCGAGAGUCUCGCUACUUACGCGGAAUACAAAACGAUGUUCCCAUGGAUCGAAUGAUACUGUCGUGUCAGCCGAAAUAAGAGAGAUGCCUCCUCUCUCUCUCUCUCUCUCUCGCUUCGAGAGACCUUCCGCGAGGAAAAUUUUCAAGCUACUUGUCUUUGGAAAGGAAAAGAGCAUUGAAUUAUAGCUCCAACUUUUAGUAACAUUUAUACUGUACAAUUGACCUCAUUUUGCAAACAGCUAAUUUCCAUUUUGCAAACUUAACUUUUCAGUCACUCAACCAAGUUUCGCGUUAAAUCAGCGAAUUCUAAAAUUAUUUCCAUAGCUUGCGAAUUUUGCCAGAAAGAUCAUUAUCAGCGAAAAGAAAUAGAUAUAAUUAUUUCAUCCUCGAGAAAGAUUUGGAAUUAUCAUUCUUCCAUUUAUAAUUCUUUCGUCUUUCCGUUGCAUAAUCAUUAGCCGCAAAACUCCGCUAAAUACGAAAGCGAUAUUUCUUACCGAAACCACUCAUUGUCAGUAUAUCGCUUAGCGAAGCCAUCGUCACGUCACGGCGGCGGACGUGGUUAUGACAUCAAAUCGAUCCGCGAGCUAUCGAGCGGCAAACUCGCUGCGCGCAAGAGAGCUUUUCAAAGAACUUCCGCCGCCAUAGUUUCUUUUUUUUUUUUUUUCGUUUCUCAAAGAACCCAUAGUUUCUAAAGCCGGUGCGUUACGCGUCGCGCGCGAUUUUCAUAAAUUAAGACCGGAAGGCGUGCGUAUACACGCGGCGCGACAGAGCGAUCUCGGGAGAAGGGAGACGAACCGAGGAGACAGGGAGAAAGAGAGCUCGAGUGACUGAAAACAUCCCAUGGCGAUAAGAAUCUCCCGGCGAUUAAUUGGUAUGACAGCGGCACACGUUAGGCCGCGCAGUGCGCCAGCCGUGACAGCGCGUCCGCGUAUCUCGCGCGAUAUCUCCUUAUGACGACGCCCGGUCGACGACUCCUUCGUCUCCUCCCUUGCCGCCCUCUCUGUCCGCGUCUUAGGUUCUCGCGUCUACCUGUGUCGAGAGGGAGAAAAAAAAGACGAAGAAACGAAGGGUGUCUCGAGGAGAAGCGCACCCGAGGGCGCCGAUAAAGAGGAGAUCGCCCUUGCGGCACGUCGCGAUACGAACGCCUGCGGUUCCCACCGGAACUGUAGUUCCGGGAAAAGCCUGUAGAGAGGCCAGCUGCCGGAAGUCGCCGAGAGACGCGAAGCGCCGCGCUUUACCGCGCGAAAGCCCGAGCGAGGUGAAAAGCGCAAGCUCGCCCGUUGCAGGGAUCUACUUGCCACCCGGGGGUUCGUAUCCCCGAUGCCAAACCCUCCCCCGCAGCCCCCUUAUGCCCUUUGUCUUUUCGCGUGGGCGCGGAUACCCACGUGGUAAAGCAGGAAUCUCGGAAAAGCUCGCAGGACCUUAUCCUGAGGUCGUAUUCUAGGUCUCGACCUUGCGAUAACGCGGCCGAAUGUUGAGCUUUCCACCGCGACGUCGUUUGAUAAUGAAUUGGAACGGGGUAGGAAAUCAUUUUUUUUUAAUCACGAGUAUCAAUAAGUACUCCCUAAUCUGUGGCUCGUACUAAAGGCUAUUGAUUUUACGUUAAGAAAAACAUUUCAAUAUUCAGCUAUAUAAAUAAGGAUUGCCAUCAUCUGUUUGUGCAUCGAGACAGUUGCAUAAAAUUUCAUUAUACUUGAAAGAUUUAAUGUGUUCAAUGUUCAAUGUGAGAUUGCAAUAUGAAGAGAAAUGUUUUCGAAAAAUUGAAACACACCGAACAUCGAAGAAUAAUUGAUUCCUUUACAAGAUUCGAUUGUUAUGAUUAACAGUCCGUAUUGGCGCUGUGCCCGAUUGGCCUUUGUAUAAAGCCGCGCGCACACGCGACAAUGUAAAGUGCAGCUGCAAGAAGCCUCGUCUGGAUCUCACCGAUUGCCGCUCCGAUGUCCGAGGUCAGCCGUGUCGGUUCGUGCUGGCCCCGAAGAUCGUUGGUCCACCUGCUCCGAGCGCGCGCGUAUGCGGCAAACGUUCACCUGCACUGGGUCCGCGUAGGCCAAACUUACACUUUCACGCGUACGCAGCCGCACACGAGAGCCGACAUCCACCUUUUCUUUUUUAUUUAUAGAUAUCUCAACAUCGACGAAACCAAAAACCUGUUCGAUUUUGGAGAGUCGCGCAUUCUUAUAUUUUGUCAACACCGAUUUUACUCUAAAAGAAUCUGUAACGAUCGACUACUUCAAGCUUGAAGUAUGGCGAUGUCUGCGGCAACCGAUCUUAUCUAAUUACAUUGACAAAUAAUGCGGGAAAAAUCCGAUUUUUCAUAAGAUUAAAAAAUGUUAAACUUGUUUUUUUCAAUUAAACGGAUUGUUCAGGGUGGCCGAUAAUAAUUUUUGUCGAUACCGCCGGCAUAUAAUUAUUCUUUUCCCCUGGUGGAUGAUCGUAACGAAGGAGAAAGAAGUUUGGUAGCACACCUUGCGCGACAGGUGCCAUUCUCUCGUGGAACGCAGGCGUAAGUAACAAGUACCCACGCGCUCGUUCAUACGAGUUUCUCUCUCUCUAUCUCCGGUUCUAUCUCUCUCGCAUGAUAAACGCGCAUCCACGCUCAGUUCCUACUCUCUUGCGUAUUAUAUACCCUACCGGUCGUCGUCGUCCUCGCGCUCGUGGUUGUUGGGCUAUAUCGUAUCGGUGCGCGCACUGGCCGUGUCCGGUAGACGCUAUCGUCGGUGCUUAAAAAUAUGUUAGCGGCCGGCGUAUAAGCACCGUGACCUCCGUGAUACGAUCUAAAGAGCCCAGGGGCCUGCUGGGACAGCGCGUCAGAUGCUCUUGCGACGGGGUGGUUCACCGAGGGUGACACGGGGAGAGAGAAAGAGGAGAGAAGGACCGUGACUGUAACCGUCACGCCGUCACCGUCGUCGAGAGUCACCGGAAAAAGGCUGAAACGAAAGGCUGACCUAUCUGAUGGGACACCCGGCUCGUGCACAUGCUCGGACAUCGCGAUAGAAAUUAAGAUGCCGAAGGCGGUUCCAUUAAUAACGUCGAGGCACAGGAGCUCUUUGUUUAACCGCGCUUGUCAUUUGAGCCCGCGGCGUGUUAGCUUCUGGGAGGAAGUAAGAAAUUGAUAGAGCCUCUGUGUGUAUCGGGUGAGAGAUCCGGUGAGGAGGAAGUAGACGAUAAUCUCGUCCGCGACACGAGGAGGAGAUGCGGCAGUCAGAGGUGAGGAGAAAAGAGGUCGCGUCAUUGCUGGCCAUGGCUCGUGAUCGAUGGCGCUGGGCGUUAUCUUCGCCACCCCCUCUUGUUCCCGCGGUAAUUCAUCAUCUCGGUCUGUUUUUCACUUACUUUAUAUGCAACAUAUUCCGUAAUUUUUAUUCAGUCAACCAGUCGCCGUCGCCGGUGCCAGCCAUCUCCAUACAGAGAGAACCCCGCCUCAUAAAAUAGCGAGCCGGGCUUCGGUGGACCAUCAUCUCCGCGAGUCGUGAAGGAUACAGCCGACUUGCUGAGGAAGCAGACGGGACGACUAACGUUCCCCUCGAUCCAAAGUAACUCCGACGGACGGAAGUCCGAGGGGUUACGCAAGCUUGCACUCUAUAUGCUAAGGAAUUUCGAUAUGGAGAUCUAUCCCCGGGACCGG